AACGAACGCUGGCGGCAGGCCUAACACAUGCAAGUCGAGCGAACCCUUCGGGGUUAGCGGCGGACGGGUUAGUAACGCGUGGGAAUAUACCCUUUGGUACGGAAUAGCCUCGGGAAACUGAGAGUAAUACCGUAUGUGCCCUUCGGGGAAAGGAUUAUCGCCAAAGGAUUAGCCCGCGUUGGAUUAGGUAGUUGGUGGGGUAAUGGCCUACCAAGCCUACGAUCCAUAGCUGGUUUGAGAGGAUGAUCAGCAACACUGGGACUGAGACACGGCCCAGACUCCUACGGGAGGCAGCAGUGGGGAAUCUUAGACAAUGGGCGCAAGCCUGAUCUAGCCAUGCCGCGUGGACGAUGAAGGCCUUAGGGUUGUAAAGUCCUUUCAGAUGGGAAGAUAAUGACGGUACCAUCAGAAGAAGCCCCCGGCUAACUCCGUGCCAGCAGCCGCGGUAAAGUAGUCGUG
rnacentral:rRNA from 1 species